rnacentral:rRNA from 1 species
GAUGAACGCUGGCGGCGUGCCUAAUACAUGCAAGUCGAGCGAACGGACGAGAAGCUUGCUUCUCUGAUGUUAGCGGCGGACGGGUGAGUAACACGUGGAUAACCUACCUAUAAGACUGGGAUAACUUCGGGAAACCGGAGCUAAUACCGGAUAAUAUUUUGAACCGCAUGGUUCAAAAGUGAAAGACGGUCUUGCUGUCACUUAUAGAUGGAUCCGCGCUGCAUUAGCUAGUUGGUAAGGUAACGGCUUACCAAGGCAACGAUGCAUAGCCGACCUGAGAGGGUGAUCGGCCACCCUGGAAGUGAGACACGGUCCAGACUCCUACGGGAGGCAGCAGUAGGGAAUCUUCCGCAAUGGGCGAAAGCCUGACGGAGCAACGCCGCGUGAGUGAUGAAGGUCUUCGGAUCGUAAAACUCUGUUAUUAGGGAAGAACAUAUGUGUAAGUAACUGUGCACAUCUUGACGGUACCUAAUCAGAAAGCCACGGCUAACUACGUG